rnacentral:rRNA from 1 species
UACGUAGGGUGCAAGCGUUGUCCGGAAUUAUUGGGCGUAAAGAGCUCGUAGGCGGUCUGUCGCGUCUGGUGUGAAAACUCGGGGCUUAACCCCGGGCCUGCAUCGGGUACGGGCAGACUAGAGUGUGGUAGGGGAGACUGGAAUUCCUGGUGUAGCGGUGAAAUGCGCAGAUAUCAGGAGGAACACCGGUGGCGAAGGCGGGUCUCUGGGCCGAUAUUGACGCUGAGGAGCGAAAGCGUGGGGAGCGAACAGG